rnacentral:rRNA from 1 species
UAGGGAAUCUUCCACAAUGGGCGAAAGCCUGAUGGAGCAACGCCGCGUGAGUGAAGAAGGUUUUCGGAUCGUAAAGCUCUGUUGUUGGUGAAGAAGGAUAGAGGUAGUAACUGGCCCCUAUUUGACGGUAAUCAACCAGAAAGUCACGGCUAACUACGUGCCAGCAGCCGCGGUAAUACGUAGGUGGCAAGCGUUGUCCGGAUUUAUUGGGCGUAAAGCGAGCGCAGGCGGAAAGAUAAGUCUGAUGUGAAAGCCCCCGGCUUAACCGAGGAAUUGCAUCGGAAACUGUUGAACUUGAGUGCAGAAGAGGAGAGUGGAACUCCAUGUGUAGCGGUGGAAUGCGUAGAUAUAUGGAAGAACACCAGUGGCGAAGGCGGCUCUCUGGUCUGCAACUGACGCUGAGGCUCGAAAGCAUGGGUAGCGAACAGG